UGACCCGAUUAAAUCAAGUAUCUCGACUCACCCCCCUCCCCCCAAAAAAGGCGUAAUUCUGAAGGUAACUUUCAGCACCAGGUGAUUUCCUCCCCGCCAAACCUGCAGCCUACUUCGGUCGUGUCCUUAGGAAGGGUUCAGCCUGGCACGGAGUUGGCGGCGCGAGCCAAGAACACAGAAGCCCAAAGACGGGAAGCACGAAAAGUUCUUCUGACUACUACAAGGAGAAAGUAUUCUGACCCUAAAUUCUCUAUCAAAGAGCGGGUCCCACGCUCAAAGCCCUAGGCUCCAGCCCCACCAGCCUAAAUGCUGUUUCUGAAAUGAGAACCCUUCGGCUCGUGGCUUCUCUACCUGAUGCACCAUCUGCCGGAAGCAUCUUCCCCCAGGUCUUCCUGCUACCUCCUCCUUCUUGUCAAGAAGAUGUUAACCUCAAGAUUGUUUUCCCCAGAAGCCUUCCAGGAUCCUGCAGCCUACGCUUCCUCAUCAAUCGUGUUUUUCUUUGUACAGUGUUCAUUCCUAUGCCAACUCUCUAGUUCUCUGUUCAUUACCUGUCUGUCCCUCUAGAAUGUAAGUUCUAUAGUCUUUUUCCUUUUUAUUCGCUGUUAUAUGAUUAGAACAUCCAGUGGUGCAUGAUAUUUAUUAAGGACUCAAGAAAUAUUUAUAAACAUCUGCUUAAUGAAAGUUUAUUAACAAAAAUCCCAUGCUCUUCCUCACAAUUUACUACUUCCCAGGACUGGCUGAGGCUAUUUCUCAUGAGUCACAUUCUAACGGUUGGGAAACCAUUUGGUUUGUGUUGUUCCAUCCAUAUUCCUUAACUUGUAUUUAUUACCCCACGAACAUAAGCAGACAAAAACAAACCAUGCCAACUACAUUGGCCAGUUAGUACAAUGCAAAGAUGAUGCUAUGCUCUCUUUAAAGAACAAUACUGUUGAAAGUGACAGCCUCAUCUUAAUAGCGCUUAAAUUCUAUUGUUUAGAUAAGCAGCCUCUCUGUGCAGUUUAACCCUAGAAUGCCAUUCUUCAAAGGUCUCAUUAAAAAAUGAAAAAGGUAUGGUCUGUAUGGAAUAAAGAAACUUUCAUUUCA